AUGAAACUUCAAAGUCGGCCAACAGUUGUUGCUGGUGAUGUACUUCACAUGUGCACGCUGAAGGUCGCAAUCCACACACACCUGUGCAUCUAUGACUCGAGGUUGUAAUGACUGAGAGUAACUUUUACACACUCUUGUAUGUAAUGGAAUGUCUUUUGUGCAUAAUGUACAAUAUAAA
rnacentral:misc_RNA from 1 species